ensembl:lncRNA
CAUUGACUCUGUACCGGUACCCCCUGUAUAUAGCCUCCACAUUGACUCUGUACCGUAACACCCUGUAUAUAGCCUCCAUAUUGACUCUGUACCGUAAUACCCUGUAUAUAGCCUCCACAUUGACUCUGUACCGUAAUACCCUGUAUAUAGCCUCCACAUUGACUCUGUACCGGUAUUACGGUACAGAGUCAAUGUGGAGGCUAUAUACAGGGGGUACCAUUACAGAGUCAAUGUGGAGGCUAUAUACAGGGGGUACCAUUACAGAGUCAAUGUGGAGGCUAUAUACAGGGGGUACCAGUACAGAGUCAAUGUGGAGGCUAUAUACAGGGUAUUACGGUACAGAGUCAAUGUGGAGACUAUAUACAGGGAUUACGGUACAGAGUCAAUGUGGAGGCUAUAUACAGGGGGUACCGGUACAGAGUCAAUGUGGAGGCUAUAUACAGGGUGUUAUGGUACAGAGUCAAUGUGGAGGCUAUAUACAGGGGGG